AACAAAAGCGUGGACCGUGGGAUCAAUACGCAAGGUCAAAAUCGUCAAUUCAGUGUUCAUAGGCGCGGCCAUCUAGGGAAGAAAACCCAAGUUCCCGCUGUAGAAUCUGAAAUUCAAACUUUCAAAAACCCUCCAAUGGCUUAUUCUCACCCCGCCAAACUCAACAAACCCUCUCUUAACGGCUCCUUCUUCUCCAUUUAACUUCUCUUUCUUCCAGCAAAGAGCUUUGUAAUAAACACAUUGUUUGAAUUUCUUUGGAGUUGCGUCGAAAGAUUUUUUUUUUUAAUCAUGGCUUUAGCUUCAGAUCCUUCGAAAGAAUCCAGAUCUACUUAUUGUCGGAAACAGAAAUCACUUGGUCUCUUAUGUUCAAAUUUUUUGAGCUUGUAUGAUCGACAAGGUGUGGAAACUAUUGGGCUUGAUGAUGCUGCUCGGAGAUUGGGGGUUGAAAGACGGCGGAUCUAUGAUAUUGUGAAUGUACUGGAAAGCAUUGGUGUUCUUGCUAGGAAGGCUAAGAACAGGUAUUCAUGGAAAGGGUUAGAAGCAAUUCCGAGGACUUUGGAACAGUUGAAGGAAGAGGGUCUUAAAGAGAAUGUCAGUGGAUUUGAUGGAUCUAGCUCUGCCAAGGGUUCAGAUGAUGAUGAUGAUGAUGAUAGAGAUUCCAACCUAAUCACUUCGAGUCAGACUGAUAAACUAAGCUCCAAUUCUGGUGUCAACUCUGCAGCGCCAGUUAAAUCUGAAAAUAGGAGAGAAAAAUCAUUGGGACUGCUUACACAGAAUUUUGUGAAGCUCUUCCUCUGCACCAAUGUUGACAUGAUUUGCCUUGAUGAGGCAGCAAAGAUACUGUUAGGAGAUGGGAGGCCUCCUGCCAUGACAAGAACAAAAGUUAGGAGGCUGUAUGAUAUCGCAAAUGUUUUGUCUUCGAUGAAAUAUAUUGAGAAGACCCAUCAUCCAGAGACGAGGAAACCUGCAUUUAGAUGGUUGGGGCUUGGAGGAAGAUCAGAAUAUAAAUCAGUUGAUGCCUUUUGUGCUAUUGAGUCCAAGAAGAGGGUAUUUGGGACUGAGCUUACAAACACAACUAUCAAGAGGAACAGAGUUGCUCUACCUAUGGAUGGUAUUUCAGAUGAAGCAACUCGAAAACAAUUGCUAACUGAAGUGAAAUGUGAGAACCUAGAAAAUGCUUUUCACAUUCCUAAACAGGAGCCUGGUUUAACAGCGAGCAAAAAGAGUUACCACUUUGGUCCAUUUGCUCCUCCAACCGUACCUCAAGCUGAAGUUUCUGAGGCUGACAGAAUGAAACGGGUUCAUGACUGGGAAAGUCUAGCCUCCAGUUACCGUCCUCAAUAUCACAACCAAGCACUGAAAGAUCUAUUUGCACAUUAUGUGGAAGCAUGGAAAUCAUGGUACUUGGAAGUUGCUGGGAAGAACCCUAUUCAGCUGAUCUCUUGAUAUGUUCUUUAUUGAUAAGAACAGGACAUUGAAGUCAACUGCCUUUACAAACUAGACAUGGUCGAAUGCACUUUCUCGUUGCAUUCAACAGUAAUUUGAUGUACAUUUUCGAUAUCUUUUUGGUUAAUAGUGAUUCUUGAAAGGAUUGACAUGCUUUAUGGCAAAACAGAGGUUAAUUUUGGGCUACCAACCUUUGCAGUAUCUGGUAAACUUAUUAGAAACUCUAAUCAACUCAUUCAUAUAAACUUAUUAGAAACUCUAAUCCACAGCCCCAUGAUGACCUUAUCUAACUUAAUUUUUGAACAGUCAUUCUAUUCCUUUGCCAUCA